rnacentral:rRNA from 1 species
UCGGAAUCACUGGGCUUAAAGCGCGCGUAGGCGGGCUGUCAAGUCUGGGGUGAAAUCCCACGGCUCAACCGUGGAACUGCUGGGCAUACUGGACAUCUCGAGGCACUCAGGGGCGAGCGGAACAAGUGGUGGAGCGGUGAAAUGCGUAGAUAUCACUUGGAACGCCAAUGGUGAAGACAGCCCGCUGGGGGUGUCCUGACGCUGAGGCGCGAAAGCCAGGGGAGCGAACGGG